GCAUACACUGUAAAAGUGAAAUUUGCUAAAUGAAGUUAAUUUAACUCAAAAAAUGUAAAAGAUAAUUUCAACUUAAUUUGUGAUUUGAACUCAAAGGCUAUUUAGGUUAAGCAGAACUCAAGCUAAAUAAAUUACUAUAAAUUAAUUUAAUCUACCACACAGUCUAUGAUUUUUACGUAUAAAUGGCUGACCACAAAAUAUUUAAAAGCAAAAUGAGCAUAAUUCAUGAUUUCAAACAUGUUUAAAGUAAUUAAUUUGACUCGACAAAAUAUUAGCCGCGCGCAUUUUUCAGUCAGUCGCAUCCACACUCCGCUCAUCCCCCGCGGGACCGCGCUCACUCACUUACACCGAUCACAGCAGGACUACUGGCGACGUGGUCACGGAAAAUAACAGGUAACGGUAAGCAUUUCGAGCUUCUUUAUUCCCAUUUAAAGCGCUUUUGAACGUUUUUGUUUUACUGUCAACUUGAUUUGAAAAUUAUCCAGCUUAGUUAUCAUAAUGUGUGUAACUUUAGCUAAGGUUAGCAAGGAGCUAACGCACCAUUACAUCAGUUAUCAACGGAAAGUGUUAAAUAUGGAUUGUUAUACACAACAGUUCGUAAGUGGUAAAUUAAGAAAUAUUUUUGGUUUUCGGACACAAACGAGUCCCGCAAAAUGUAUUUUUAAACUAAGGUUAGAGAGACGGCUGACAGCAUCUUCGUCAUCUCUAACCGUCACUCCCGCCACAGAUCUGAAGCAAGGUAAAGCCAACACACAUUCCCUGUAUUAAAACACGUUUAAACUUCUUGUUAAUUGUUAUUGAUUAUCUGUAAGUUUCAUCUAAGAUGUCCAUGUGAUGUUGAUCAAGUUUACUAAAUCCGCCGAAGGGUAAACAAAGGGGCUGAAGAGCGUUUACAAUGGCUGUUAAACCUCAGUUAACAUUUUACACUGUUAUUUGCUCCUCACAUUGUCUUAUUUAAAACUCAUUCUAACAAAUUGUUGUCAUACUUUGAAAUCAAUGUUUUCAGUGCAAAGGCAGCGGAGGGGUGGUGUGAUGUCAUUGGCAUCAGGAAGGCUGCUCUACUAAUAUGGGCCUGAACUGAAGAACAAUAUCAGUCAUUCAAGCUAUGAUCCUGGCAGAUCUACACACAAGACACACAAGAAGCGCUGCAGGUGCGUGAUGUGAUUUGAAGACCAUGUGAAUCCUAAUGUUCUGUUGUUUGCUGCUUUUUGCGCAUGUAAAAUGAAUCCCCGGGAAACAAAUGUUAGUAUUUUAAUGGGUCACAGACACUGAUCCUUUCUAAUUUAAUUCAAUUCUAAUUUAAAAUAAUCUUGUCUGUUAAUGGUUAAUAAUCGGUUAACGACCGUUGGUUGUUGGUUAGGAAAAAUAACCAAAAUGCUUCACGCCUCCAAGUCAUAAUGUAAUCGUCACUAGAGUUACAGUGCCAAACUGCAGCAUUGAGAUACAGUACAUACCACAGUAUGACAUGUAAACAGUUGUCCUCAGAAUGUCCCCACACCCAAAGUCAAUUAAUUUGACUUCAAGUGUCUCGUUGUUGAUGAGAAGGUUGCUCAGUUUAAUGUCACGGUGGAACACGUCGUGCUGGCAGCAUACGUUCACAGCCUGAGCUGCCUGUCUCAUGACUUGCCGUGCUAAGCUCUCAUUGAGACUUCCACCCUGACGCCCCACAAAGUCUUCCAAAGUCUUGCAAGGAGAGGGACAUUCGAGGAUUAUGACGAAAUGGUCAUCGUAGUCCUUCCAGUCCAGCAGCUGGAUGAUCUCUGCCACUCUGGGGCCUUUAUUUGCCAGGAUUGUGAGGGCGAUCUCCAUUGGAAGAAGUUGCCGAUACCCAGGCUAAAAGAAAGACAGUUAUUAUGAUGGGAAGAUAGAAGUCGUUUUCCAAAUGAGGAUUUAGUCCAAUCUUGGACAAGUUACUCUACUGAAAGAAAUAACUGUCUUUGUUAUAAUUGUUAAUAAGAGAUGUUUUUUUUGUUUUUUUUUUUUUUUAACAGAGAAGAAGUGCAUCUUACAAUGUUUACACCUUCCACGUCUUCAUCGGUCUUGUUAAGAUGUUUCACAGACACCUGAUCAAGAAAAUGAAAAAGUUAACUUGCGUGUAGAGGCCUCAUCAUUACUGUCAUGAAAUCUAUGUUACAUUUUGUUUGCUAGUUGUGGAAGUUUUCAUUCAUCUUUUACUUACUUCAGGGUCAUCCUCCAAAUGUCUCACCUCAGCGUCAAAUCCACCUUCACAUAGCUGAUCACCCACCUGGUUCUGGCUGACGGUGUCGUCUGUUAAAAGAUAAAAGUAUUUUUAAACAUAUCCUGGAUCUUGCCCUUAAUCAGUCUUCAAGUUUCUUUAUUUUUUAAUUGUGUGGAUUUUUUUAAUAUUUAAAAUUCACCUGAUCUAACUUAUCUAUAUUGAGGAAACAUUAAAAAGUUAGGAAAAGGCUAUUGAAGAUUAAAUAAGAAAGCUAUUAUAAUCUAUCCUCUAGAUUAAUUUACUAGAAUGGGAUAUCUAGGUAUAAAUGAUGACUUUUUGAUCUAACGUACAGAGCUUUGUGCAACAUAUUCUUAUGAGGUGAUCGUUUCAUUUACCAUCACUGCAUCUGGCUUCACAUUCGUUCUGAGGCUUCACUCCCUCACUCUGCUCUUGCUCUUGCUGCAGCACUACUUCACCCUGAACUGGGUUCGAGCUGCCCUUCAGAUGUUUCUUCACAGCUCCAAAGAAAGAAGUCAACCUCCACCACUUCCUUUUCUUCUUCACUUUCUCCAUCACCCUACACUCCUGGCCGUUUCCCUCAGCAGCAUCAGCAGUGGUCUCGUGAGGAUGUUGUUCCUCUGUGCUGCUGGGUUUUGGGGGGGUGCUGAGAUCGCACCCCUGACUCUCCGCCAACGGAUGAACUUGAGAAGCUCGCUUAUACAUUGUCUUCAAAAUCACUGAAGAUAACUGAUCAGUUUCACUCACCACUGCUACUAAACCCACAAAAUGCAUCAAUUUCAUGGCCUUGAAAGUUCUACGAAUUCUUC